UCAGACAAUACUUUUGCAAGGACAGGAUCCCCUGCUGUCUAUCCAGAGAUGCACAGUGUGCUGCCAAAAAUACCAGUGUACCUACUGUAAACCUGUUUACAACCAUUUGCAUGAGCUCCGGAAUCAUGUAGCUAAUCACAUGCGAAAUGCAGUUCAAGAAGAAGAAAACUGGCAAGUCACAUUUACCUGGCCACUGGAACAUGUCUGUACUGGCAGAUUUUAAGGUACAGCUUUUUAACUUCUUUGCUUGUGAACUUUUCAUAUCUGUAGUUGAGUGUUAAGAAAGAAUGCAGUGCACAGAUGUCACAAAUAACCCGCUAUGGGUGAACUGAGUUCAAAGUGCACUUUCUUAACAAAACUAUAAACAGAGACAAAACAAAAACAUUUACCGGACAUGACAGCUAUAUAAUGUAUUUAUUGAAUAUGGUCUAACUGUAAAUUGUCUAAAAUUUACAGGGUGCCCCUCUUCAGCUUGGAGGAAUUUAUUGUGGGGUAUUCAUGUUGAUGGUAAGUGGUUUUAUAAUUGCUAUGCAGCUGUGUUUGUGUGCUAAACACCACAUUGGUUAAUAAAGUUUUGUUUUUGUUUUUUAGUAUGCACUCCAUGUUACGCUCUCAAAGCCAUUUGAUUUUGCUGCAGUGACUUUGCAUCAAUUUAUGGUUAUAAAGCAAAAAGGACGGUGAGAAAAUAAAAAAAAAGUCUAAGCCUUUCAAUUGCUAUCUUUUAUUAGUCUGACAUGCCUAUAAUCAGGAGGUGGUGGUGCUAUCAGCUAAUUUAAACAUUUCCUCUGACAAGGUAUGGUACUGAUAAUCAUACUUUUGAUUUAAACAUCCAUACUGUGGAUUUCCAGUGUGCAGACAAUAUAUAAACAAUGCAUGCCUAAAACCAUGCCUAAUGUUUGUCACUUGGCACAGUCAAGUCCAACAACUAGUCACCAGGAACAACUACCAAAUCCAGAUGACAUGAUGGAAGUCACUCCAGCUGAGUCAGAUAGCUUGGAGAUCACCCCAUCCACAGGAAUGACUCAGCGGUGAUGAAAAACAUUUUGCUGGCCUGUAAGUGGGUGGAGGAGAACCAACACCAAUUUGCUGGGAAGAUUGAACUGCCAAAGAUCCUGAAGAUGAAGGAGGAAGAUGCAUUGUUGGCUAUCACAAUGCGAGACUUGUUCCUAAACACCAUGUUUUAUGAAGGUGAAAGGGAUAAAGAAGAAAUUUAGGCUCCCUUUCUUUUUACUUUUCAGAGAGUAGAGGACAUGGACAUUUUCUUGCAGGAAAUACGAGACAAAAGAGACAUCCGUGUGUCUUGUUUACACAACCCUCACUUGUGAAUGUACUAGUGGGGUACUAUAAUGUAAAUAUUGAUUUUUGUUUUGUAAAAUUUCUUACAUUUUUUGUGGGAAAAAUUAGUGUUGUGUUUUUGAAAUAUAUUUAUGUAUUUUAAUAUAUUGU